UACGGGGGGAGCAAGCGUUGUUCGGAUUUACUGGGCGUAAAGGGCGCGUAGGCGGCCACCGCAAGUCGACUGUGAAAUCUCCGGGCUUAACCCGGAAAGGUCAGCCGAUACUGCGGGGCUAGAGUGCAGAAGGGGCAACUGGAAUUCUCGGUGUAGCGGUGAAAUGCGUAGAUAUCGAGAGGAACACCUGCGGCGAAGACGGGUUGCUGGGCUGACACUGACGCUGAGGCGCGAAAGCUAGGGGAGCGAACGGG
rnacentral:rRNA from 1 species